rnacentral:lncRNA from 1 species
CUGCGUCAUUGAGUCCUUUGUAACCGCUGAAAGUUCCAAAUUAUGAGAGUGAUGCUUCUUAGCACUGCCAAGGGAAAAUUUUAACUAGUUAGGCCAGUCCAUCACGGGCCUCAUCCAUGUUUUUCUGCCGAGCAGUAGAGGACACAAGUGUUUCCAAUCCGGUCAUGUCGUGAGACAUCUCGGUGGAGCAGAGUCGCGGCAGGACGAAAGGAACCCAGCCCCCGGCUCCGGAGUCCCAGCGGCUCGUCUCCCCUUCGGCCCGGAGCAGCCUGGCCGGGCGGCCGUGGGUCAGGGACCUGGGGUCUCCUCAGACGCGGGAAUCCGCGACGCGCGCUCCUCUUUCGGGCUGAGCUUGGGACCAAAGGACGGGAUUUCAAUGAGUGAAGCCUGCACAUAAGUCCUGAUCUGCAAGCAGAGAACUGGCAAUGAAGGGUGGUCCAGCUACAUCUGAGCAAACUUCAAGAACACUCACGGAGCAAACUGCAAGAGCAAUCACGGGAGCCUUUGGCUUGAUUCCGUUUACAGAAAUUUAUAGAAGUAUCAAGUUAAUUCAAGGCCUCCUUGAUUCUUGCCUGCACCAGCCCUUUCCCUCCUUCCCCACUCUGCU